rnacentral:rRNA from 1 species
CCUACGGGAGGCAGCAGUAGGGAAUUUUGCGCAAUGGGCGAAAGCCUGACGCAGCAACGCCGCGUGAUUGAUGAAGCCCUUCGGGGUGUAAAGCUCUGUCAGUGGGGACGAAACUUGACGGUACCCACAGAGGAAGCACCGGCUAACUCCGUGCCAGCAGCCGCGGUAAUACGGAGGGUGCAAGCGUUGUCCGGAAUCAUUGGGCGUAAAGAGUUCGUAGGUGGCAUAAUAAGUCUGGUGUGAAAUGCAGAAGCUCAACUUCUGAUUGGCAUUGGAUACUGGUAAUCGUGAUUGCGGUAGAGGUAAGGGGAAUUCCUGGUGUAGCGGUGAAAUGCGUAGAUAUCAGGAGGAACAUCGGUGGCGAAGGCGCUUUACUGGGCCGUAAUUGACACUGAGGCACGAAAGCCGGGGUAGCAAAUGGGAUUAGAUACCCGUGUAGUC